CCAACCCUUGAAGGCGGCUGCACCUUUCAGGAUAUUCUAGUCCAACAUCGAGGUCACAAACCUUUUUUUCGAUAAGAGCUCUCAAAAAAGAUUAUGCUGUUAUCCCUACGGUAACUAUUUCUUUUAAUCACAAUGGAAUUGUGGAUCUUUAUACAAUAAGUUUUAUUUAAAAAGAAGCUUUAGCUGUUCCUCAGUCGCCCCAACCAAAAUUUUUCAUGAAAAGAAGUCUAUUAAUAGCUUCUUAAUAACAUAAAUAACUUUAAAGCUCGAUAGGGUCUUCUUGUCUAUUAAUUUUAUUUAGAUUUCUUCAUCUAAAAAAUAAGUUCCAUGGAUUUUUGCAGAGACAGGGUAGCCCUUGUCAAACCCUUCAUACUAGCCCUCAAUUAUAGGGCAAAUGAUUAUGCUACCUUUGCACGGUCAGAGUACCGCGGCCGUUGAA
rnacentral:rRNA from 1 species